rnacentral:rRNA from 1 species
UACGGAGGGUGCAAGCGUUGUCCAGAUUCAUUGGGUUUAAAGGGUGCGCAGGCGGGACAUUAAGUCAGGGGUGAAAGACGGUUGCUCAACAAUCGCAGUGCCUUUGAUACUGGUGUUCUUGGGUAACCUUGAGGUAGGCGGAAUGGGUGGUGUAGCGGUGAAAUGCAUAGAUACCACCCAGAACUCCGAUUGCGAAGGCAGCCUACUGGAGGUCAACCGACGCUCAGGCACGAAAGCGUGGGGAUCAAACAGG